rnacentral:rRNA from 1 species
UACGUAGGUGGCAAGCGUUGUCCGGAUUUACUGGGCGUAAAGGGCGCGUAGGCGGCGUGACAAGUCACUUGUGAAAUCUCCGGGCUUAACUCGGAACGGUCAAGUGAUACUGUCGUGCUAGAGUACAGAAGGGGCAACUGGAAUUCUCGGUGUAGCGGUGAAAUGCGUAGAUAUCGAGAGGAACACCUGCGGCGAAGGCGGGUUGCUGGGCUGAUACUGACGCUGAGGCGCGAAAGCCAGGGGAGCGAACGGG